rnacentral:rRNA from 1 species
GACCAGUGGGGGCGGGCUACACAUGCAAGUCGAGCGGCAGCGGGUCCUUCGGGAUGCCGGCGAGCGGCGGACGGGUGAGUAAUGCCUAGGAAUCUGCCUGGUAGUGGGGGAUAACGUUCGGAAACGGGCGCUAAUACCGCAUACGUCCUACGGGAGAAAGUGGGGGAUCUUCGGACCUCACGCUAUCAGAUGAGCCUAGGUCGGAUUAGCUAGUUGGUGGGGUAAAGGCUCACCAAGGCGACGAUCCGUAACUGGUCUGAGAGGAUGAUCAGUCACACUGGAACUGAGACACGGUCCAGACUCCUACGGGAGGCAGCAGUGGGGAAUAUUGGACAAUGGGCGAAAGCCUGAUCCAGCCAUGCCGCGUGUGUGAAGAAGGUCUUCGGAUUGUAAAGCUCUUUAAGUUGGGAGGAAGGGCAGUAAGUUAAUACCUUGCUGUUUUGACGUUACCCACAGAAUAAGCACCGGCUAACUCUGUGCCAGCAGCCGCGGUAAUACUGUGGGUGAAAGCGUUAAUCGGAAUUACUGGGCGUAAAGCGCGCCUAACCGGUUCAAAUG